rnacentral:rRNA from 1 species
UACGUAGGGUGCGAGCGUUGUCCGGAAUUACUGGGCGUAAAGAGCUCGUAGGCGGUUUGUUGCGUCGGCUGUGAAAACCUGAGGCUCAACCUCAGGCCUGCAGUCGAUACGAGCAGACUAGAGUGUUGCAGGGGAGACUGGAAUUCCUGGUGUAGCGGUGAAAUGCGCAGAUAUCAGGAGGAACACCGGUGGCGAAGGCGGGUCUCUGGGCAACAACUGACGCUGAGGAGCGAAAGCGUGGGGAGCGAACAGG